rnacentral:rRNA from 1 species
GAAAAGAACUUUGGAGAGAGAGUUAAAAAGUACGUGAAACCGUAUAGGGGUUAAGCCCGUUGAAUCUAAUCUAUCCGAUGGAUGAAAUUCAAUAUUAAAUUUAAUCAUUUAGUAUGCACUUUUCAUCUAGUAGGACACUGCAAUCCGUUAGAUUAAAUAUAUGCUUUUUUGCUAUAUUUGAGUCUAUCUCUAGAAUUCGCCAUGGAUUGUUUAUCAUAAAUAUCAUUAUGUUAUUUUGAUAAAUCCAUAUAGAAUUUUGAUAGUAUUCGACUGACGGAUUUAAAACAAUCAUAUAACAUUCAUAUGUAAUUAUAUUAUAUUAAUUUAUAUGUAUUUGAUUGGCAGUGCACUCAAAGAUUUAGAUACCUUCGGGGCCCGUCUUGAAACACGGA